rnacentral:rRNA from 1 species
AGUGAACGCUGGCGGUAGGCCUAACACAUGCAAGUCGAACGGCAGCACAGUAAGAGCUUGCUCUUACGGGUGGCGAGUGGCGGACGGGUGAGGAAUACAUCGGAAUCUACUUUUUCGUGGGGGAUAACGUAGGGAAACUUACGCUAAUACCGCAUACGACCUACGGGUGAAAGCAGGGGAUCUUCGGACCUUGCGCGAUUGAAUGAGCCGAUGUCGGAUUAGCUAGUUGGCGGGGUAAAGGCCCACCAAGGCGACGAUCCGUAGCUGGUCUGAGAGGAUGAUCAGCCACACUGGAACUGAGACACGGUCCAGACUACUACGGGAGGCAGCAGUGGGGAAUAUUGGACAAUGGGCGCAAGCCUGAUCCAGACAUACCGCGUGGGUGAAGAAGGCCUUCGGGUUGUAAAGCCCUUUUGUUGGGAAAGAAAAGCAGCAGGUUAAUACCCCGCUGUUCUGACGGUACCCAAAGAAUAAGCACCGGCUAACUUCGUG